rnacentral:piRNA from 1 species
UAAAAAAUGGCCCUCGUUGAUAUUA